GCCCCCAUGGUCUAGUGGCUUAGGACGUCGGCCUUUCACGCCGAAGAUCGCGGGUUCGAACCCCGCUGGGGGUA
rnacentral:tRNA from 1 species